AUCCAGCUGACGAGUUCCAAAUAGAACGAAAUGCGCGUCCUGGAU
rfam:Schistosoma mansoni strain Puerto Rico chromosome 1, complete genome